GGGUUUUUCUGUGAAACAUGGCGGACUGAAGAGAAGAGGAGCUGCUCUCAUCAGGACCUUAAAAGAGCUAAUUCUAAGCUCUUCGGUCUCUCCAUCAAAGUGCUCCGCAUCGUUCUCCAUGUGAAUGCUGCUGGGCUCGCUGCUGCCCAUCCAGCCAAUAGGAGUGCGGUUGAAGGAAGGCCGGCAUCCGAUUUCCUGUUGGUACACCACUGGGGCCUCAGGCUCGGUCGCCUCGGCUUCUGGCAUCUGGAAUUUCAUAAACUGGCUGGCCUUAUCGAAGCCACCGAAGGGCAUGGCAAACCUGGCAAAGAGAGGAGAGAGGAUUGUUAAAGCUCCUCUCCGUCACAAAGCAUCUACGAGGUCUGGUCGGAGUGAAAGUACCUGUUGAAGCUUUUGUACUUGGGCAGAUCCUUUCGGUCGGUGGGGCCGGGCAUUCCCGCCUUGAGAGUAGCUAUCAGAUUCUCAUCCCCCUUCAUGGCCUUCUCCCAUGGAGACAUGUAGCCCUUCAGAGUAAUCUUGGUUGCAUCAUCACAUCCACCUCCUGUGGAGGAGACAUCAAGGCUAGAGGAUCAUUUAUGUAAGCUCUCACCAUCGACUCACUACAGAAGACGUCGGGGUUGUUCUCGUGGAUGAACUUCUCCAUCCUCUUCUGCCUCAUCCUGAACAUCUUGGAGCCUUGGUUCUUCAACAGGGAGAGCUCCUCCAGCAUGAUGUCUUUGGGACUCCUGAUCUUGUUCCCCAGGUCGAACUCAGAGGCCUCCGGCUCCGAGUCAUACUCUAGAGGAGAGGCCGGCUUCUAAAUAUCAAACAGACGAGAGGAGACCCCGGGGGCUACUUUCUUAUCACAAGUUUACAAAUCCCGCAGCGCCUCUGACCCUGUGGCUGGAACCAAGUCCUGAGAAGUGCAAACCCAACCUGCACUCAGAUGGCAGAUCGUCCAGAGGCUCAGGGCUGAGGGUGGCAGCAGAGUUGGUGUCAA